GAAUCAUCCUGUUUACAUUUGUUGGGUUAUAUCCAUAAUAAACUUGUAAAAAAUGAAAACAGUAGAAAACAUUAAAAUAGAUCCAUAUAGUAACUUUAUUUUAGAAUUCAAGAUGACCUCAUUUCCUGCUCCAACAUAAGUACGUGAUGUCACAAACUUCAGAAGAUUUUUUCAAAACCUUUACAGAAAACAUUCCUCUUCCCAUCAUCGAAUACUUCAUCUUGCUUUCUUCUUGCAGCUGUUCCUUCUAGAGACACGUAUCUUUGGGCAAGCAGUUAUGAAUAUCAGAGAGUAGUCUGGAGCAUACCACCACCUGGGACACCAAAGGAUUACAGAUUGCGCUCGUGAAAACUGCUGGGUCAGAGGUGGUGGUGGGUCAGAAAAAUGUCUAGCCAAAGCAAGAGUGCCCAGGAGUGCCCAGGGAUCAAAAGCAAGACCAAACAUUACUCUUCCAAACAAAGGUUUCUAAACUAACCUAGAUUUGUCUAAACUAACCUAGAGCAGAUGAUAGAUUUUAUUCCUACAGUGGAAUUAGGAAUCAAGCAUGCAAAAGGACUGUGAGAUUAGUUCCUAAUUCUCCUUUUUACCCAAGGGAACUGAAGCAAAGACAGAUGGAGUGAUCUGCUGGGGCAAGCAGAGCCCUAGGUGGAACCAGAUCCCCUGUCCUGUUCAGAGGCUGCCCUUUCCUGCCUGUCAUGUGGAAGAAAUAAUAUAGCCACUACCAGGCACCUGCAAAAGCCCUCCACCUGGUUUUGCUCAAAGUGACAGACCUUGGAGGACAAUGUGCAUGUUCCCCACUAGUCUGUAGGGAGCGUGGUGUAGCUGAUGCAAUUCCCGGCUCCAGCACACACCUGCAAGGUCUCAUUGAUCUGCUGCUCGGUGCUCUGAAAACUCAGAAAUCUAUUAUCAGUGUGAGCAUGUGCUUAUUGAUCAGAUUACCUGCUUCUGCUCCCUGUGUGUACCUAAUUGUACCAGCGUACGCACACACACACGUAAAUAUGCACACACGUAUGCAUACAUACAGGCACGCACAGACGGGUUAUUAGGAUGUGUGUAUGUUAAAGGCUUUACAUAUUUUUUUUGUUUUACAAAACUGCACAUAAAUAAAAAGAACGGACCUUCUCCGUGAAACGUGAGCACAGAAACACUCACAAGUGGCCAAGAGCUGCUAAAUAAUUAAUCAAUAGAGCAGUGUGGCAGUUUGAAAUGUAAAUGUGAUGGAUGAAGGUGUGAUGCUUGUCAUCAAGCAGAAAAUGAUGUGACUGGAAUGGAUAACCCAUGGUACCUGCUGACUGGCAAAAGCUUGGACACAAAGAUAAAGUAAAGCCAUCAGAAAGCAGCUCUGGCAAACCCUAAUUUUUCCCUUUGACCCACAAUUCACUUUCAUGUCCCUGUCCCAGAAGAGAUGUUUAAAAAAAUGAUGAAGAGCGAUCUUGGGGUGGGAAAGGGGAGAGGAAAAAAAAAUCAUCUGAAGAAAUGCUACCUGACAAGGCUGCGGGCUACAUUCUUGAGAACACCUUUCUUUUCUUUAUGUUCUCCUUCUCCUGUUAAAUAAAAAUGCGGCUCCUUUUUUCCCUUUCCUUUCUUCCAAAACUCUCCCGAGCCGUUCCUGCAAGUGGUUCUGUGACUCGGGAGCUGACAACAGCCGCAUGCAAAGGAACAAAGAACGAGAGUGACAAUUCAGAGUGCACGCAGAAAUGCAAGCCUGAAAGUAGGAUUUAAAAGUUUGAUGGCUCUUUCUCCCUGCAAAAGAGAAUCCUAUUUCUCAAUUUGUACUUUGGGAGCUUUCUUCUAGCUCACGCCAAAGCCACUCAGCUGUAUAUCUUUACCUAUACGACAGUGGCCACCAGCAGCAGGCUACAGAAGAGAAAGAGAAGAAGGCAACCUCGUAGCAGAGCGCCCCAGAUCACUCUUCCAGCCUCCAGCAACUGGCAGCUCAGGGACUUCCCGAGCUGAAAAAUUUGCCUACUUUGCUGUAGUGAUGGAGGAAUGAGGCAGCUUGGGGCUGCUCCAGCCCAGCCGUGGUGCUCCAGGGCCUCCUUUCCCAGCAUCCCUGCUGCAUCCUGCUGCUGAUCGGAUUGUGAGCGUGAAGCACUUUUCAGAUAGUCUUCCUUUGGUCACAAGAUGACAGUGAGAAUGGAUUGUCAAACUGGACCACUAUGACAAUUUACUCUGGGGGAGAAAAUCCUGUGGGUGUUUAGAAGCUUUACUGUAACGACUGGUUGGUUUAAAACUGCACCAAGAUAGGAGGAGGUUGGUCAAGCAAAGUGACACAGCACAAGAGCGUGCAGCAGACAGCGGUCGGUGACUCUUCGGGAGGAUCCACUGAAGACAGGGCAAGACCGAAAGACAAGGAAGUGUGACCCAGUGAAGAAGCGUACUCUCACAACGUGGCACUACGCUGGCAAUCAUGGCUGUCAGCAAAACACCCCCCGUUCUGGCUGUCAACACCCAAGUGAAGAUAAGCUUACAAAAAGGCAAGCCCGUGACCGAGAGCUGCAGGGCCAAAAGGGGCUGGAUGUGCCAUAUUCCUGGCCCAAGUGGAAGCAGGAAAUACUAAACAUCUUGCAUGGAAGCCUGUUCUCAUCAGGUUUAUAGCCCAGCUUUUUCCAUCAAAAGCAGUGAGGAUGGUACAGACAGAGUUCAGAAAUGCAUCCAAGCAUAUGGGAGUAUAUCUACACUAAUCCUCCUUUUGAGCUCCAUCCAGCACUAAAUCAGAGCCACACCAGAGAGAGGAAUAAUGCAAUAACUUGUGGAAAAAGCAUGGCUCCUCUCUAUUAGGAUAGGGUAAAUUGAACAACGUGCCUCACUUUUCUCCUUAAAAACUGUUGGAGGAAUGUUAACAGCGCACAGAGCAUGGCAGAGACUGGAAAAAACAAAAGUCAGGUAUCGCCUUAACUUGCCCGCCCUGUGGCCGUACGUCCCAGUGCACCAGAGGCUCCACGUGUAGGGCAGCCACCGCCGGGACAGCACCGGCAGCCUUGGAAGAGCAACACGAUAACUGCACGGGUGGCAAAACUCACGUGUGAGGCUGUGAAAACACCUUUUUGCAGGGUUCACCCGCGCCGUGCUCACAGCACUGUGGCUGCAGCCACCACCUCGAGAUGUCCCCUGAAAGCAUUGCUGCACGAGCUCAGGGGAAGAAGGGGGGUGCGGCCUUAUUUUCCCGGCCAGAACACAGGGCACUCUGUCUGAGCGAGGAAAAGGGCUUUGCUGAGCUCAUCGGAGGACAAGAAGAUCCUAUGGCUGUGAUGAGGCCCGAAGGGUGUGCCAUCGGCGCCGGCUCGGACGUGGGAGCAGAACGGGCAAGCACAGUGACACCCCGCUCCCCGUCACGGGCUCUGACCUCACCUACUGAAAGCAAAAGCAGCAGAAAAAGCUGCGAGACGAGAUGUGCACCAAGUGCUUGAGAUGCUCUAGCAGCAGUAGCACGUGGUCACCGGGGCUCGAGUCCUUUAUCACGUUUUCCGUAUGCCCAAAGCAAAAAAAGGGAUUUUUCUAACAAGUGCAACCAUGCUCCGCAGCCUCCAAACGCUGCUCUCUGGACCUCAGGCAGGGGACAGAAAGAAAGAUUUUCAACAGAGCUUGCUGUGGGAGUGCUGAUGGGUUAGGGAGCUUAAAAAGAGCUGUCAGCUGACAAAAGGAGGUGGGUAGUUAGGGAUACAAGUUAGGAGAGGGUUUGGCUAACUAACUAGCAACAGGAAAAAAAUAAAUACAGCUCCACACACACAAGCACAUACACGUGCAGAGCCAACCUACCACUCAGGUAAACAGCCUCUCGUCUCUACAAGUAAAAAUCCUCAAAUUUCUUGAUCACAUUGAUUGCCUUUUCCUGAUUAAAACUGGAAGAAAUCACAUUUAGCUCUUUUCUUAAUAAAAAGAAAUCAGUAUAUGACUUGGUGGAAAACCCUGUAAAACAUCCAGUUCUUCAAAAUUACUGACCAGUAUCUCGUCUGGCGUAACUCAGCCUCACUAUGUUGAUGUCUACAAAGCAGAGCAUCUUUACCCCAGCUUAAAAUCUGCCCCCAUAUG